rnacentral:rRNA from 1 species
CGCAAGCCUGACGGAGCAACGCCGCGUGUGGGAAGAAGGCUCUUGGGCUGUCAACCACUUUUCUCAGGGAAGAAGCCCUGACGGUGCCUGAGGAAUCAGCCUCGGCUAACUCCGUGCCAGCAGCCGCGGUAAUACGGAGGAGGCAAGCGUUAUCCGGAAUUAUUGGGCGUAAAGCGUCCGCAGGGGGCACAUCAAGUCUGCUGUUAAAGGCUGGAGCUUAACUCCGGUAGAGCAGUGGAAACUGGUGUGCUAGAGGGCGACAGGGGUAGAGGGAAUUCCCAGUGUAGCGGUGAAAUGCGUAGAGAUUGGGAAGAACACCGGCGGCGAAAGCGCUCUACUGGGUCGCACCUGACCCUCAGGGACGAAAGCUAAGGUAGCG